ACAAAAUUAUCUUUUCUUGAAUAACGGAUUUAAACAUCGGUGAUAAUAUGGAGAGAAAUGAUUCAUAUAUCAAGAUGAUUAGCAGUUAAACAAUAUGUUUGAAUGUUUUAUGCUACAUUAAUUGAUAUAACAUUUCGUUUGAAAUUAGCCGAUACAACGGGUAAAAAUAUCCAGUUUCGUUUUCGGAAUGCAAAUGGCCGCCAGAGAAACUCACAAUUAAUUACAUAAAUUUGUAAACAUCCCGUUAAGAUGAGUUUGUGUGACAUGUCUGACAACUGUGAAGAGAGGAUAUACUAUCUCAGGACUAUUUGUAUGUACAUGGACCUCACAAAAGAUACACUUCUAAAAUUGUUCAAAUAUCUAAUAAAAAGUGACGAUAUUUCUCGAUUUUUGACUUCUGUUGAUAAGAUUUGUAAACUUUUGGACUUAUUUAAGAAUGACAUUCUUAACAAGACUGAAUAUCAUCUAGUUCGUUCAAGUUGGCCUAAUCCACAGAAAUUUGAUAUUGCACUGCUGAUAAGGCUCAUAAUAGGGUUAUGAAGGAAUACGAUCGCUGAGCCUCAACUUGGGUGGAAAACCAGACCACAACCUAAAGAUGAGUCUCUGGGAGCUGACCUUAUCCGUUUGAGAGAUGUAAGGAACAAGCUAAUCGGGCAUCACGCAGACGCAAAACUGUCUAAAGCUGAGUAUGAAAAGAUAUGGUCCAAGGUGCAAGCAGUUUUAGUGAGGGUGGUCGAAAAGGUUGAUCCAGAAUCUAAGAAUGAUCUUUUAACGGCCCGUGACGGGUACAAACAAUUUGAACUAGAUACAGAGCGGACGAAAGUAAAACGGUAUCUGGAUCAACUUAGUGAGUAUCAACAUGAUGUCGAGAAGCUGCAAAAUAAGGUUGAAGAAUUAAGCAAGAAGUCACAAGAAUUUCAUGUAUACUUUGAAACAACACCUGAGCGAUAUGUGCGAUAUAUCAAGCUACUUUUCGAUGGCGGGCGCCUUGUUUUGUGUGGUGUGUUCGAGAGGGAGUUGCACAAAUAUGACCAGGAUCUGGAUUCUCUAGUUAAAGAAAAUCGGGAAAUACUUCAAUCAGAGGUUGAUAAAGAAUAUCAAAGAUACCUCUCCCCGUCAAAGUCGAACGAAAUAAAUCAUACCAGUUGGGAUGUUGUUCUUCUCGCAUCGGUGAUUUUGCUCGUAUUUACAGAUAUAAACGCAGGUGACAUUAGCAAUAUAGAGCAAAUCAAACAUGUAAGGCUCAAUUAUGCAGAACAUGCAUUCAUCUGUUUAGACGCAGACCAGUUUCUUCUCAUUUGGACAGACUUGAUUAGUAGCUUUAAACAUCUUUCAAUGAAUAUCGACGAAGAGAAGAAACUUCAAGUUGAGAGUUUCAUUGAUAGACCUCUACAAGAAAAAAUCUGAAGGUGGUGAUGCGGAUGAGUAUUUAGAUCAACUGAGAAAAUGUGGUGUGCCUGUAAAGACACUUAAAGACAUUUACAGUGAAACAGUUUAUCAACCGAGACAGUUGUUGCGGCAAUUAAACGAGAGAGGAAUGAAAUUCAAGACAGAACAUGGUAUCAAGUGUAUCACCAGGAAGAACGUUUGUGGAUGAAGAUGCUCCAGUUAUCCUUCGAGCCAGAGAGACCGCGGGUGGCUCGCAUAAUGCAUAGAAGACGCGGACGCUGAUUGAGCCUUAUAUACAAUAGUCCAGCUACCGCUCGGAAACCAACCGCGGGCGCCUUCAUACUUAAUAGAUGUCCGUCCGGUUUUCUGUAUGUUUCGCACGGGUGCCGCCUGGUUCCUGUCCGGUACCUGUCAGCCUUGAAAACUUCCCGCCUGGCAUGUCGUACCAGGAAAGCCGUCCGGUGCCCACUUGUUUUAUAACCGCAUCGAUAGAGCGUCCGCUUCGAGUUCGGGAGGUCGUGGUUCGAUCUCCGGCCGCGUCAUACUAAAGACGUGAAAAAUGGUACCAGUAGCUACCUUGCUUGAUGCUCAGCAUUAAAAGGGAAACUGGCCUCUUUUCUUUCAUACCUUCGUUGCGAUAGAUUCCAUCAGGAAUGAGGUGUCGAGAGAAAUUAAUCUCGGGACUAAUCAAUCUGAGGAUUAUUUUAAGAAUGAAAUGGAACCAGAUGAGUAUGGCCGUCACAUGGUGUCACCGACAAAAAGUAAUGAUGAGGACCCUGAUAAGUUUUCAUUUCAAAGACUUUCUACGAGAUAUCGACAAUUUGACACUGAUAGAGUUGAGAUACAUUCUGAACCUGUCAUAGGAAUGACUGAAGAUAGGGAAUCGCAGGAGACGAAAUCCGAAUUUCCACAAGGGUUGACCAAAACCAGCCCAUCUGGAAAACACUUUGAUAAAUCAUUUGAGACAGAAAAUAGGUAUUUUCAAGAGAUGAUGAAAAGCGCAUCAAACGUUACCGAAGAAGAUUUGAAAGCUCUUAAAGCCCGAAUUGAAGAGUUGUUUCGUUUACACAUUGUCGAAACAGCAGCGGAAACAGAAAGCUUUGCUUUUUUACAACGCUUGGAUCAGACUCAACAGCGACAAAGGAAAGAAAAUGAAACAAGAAGACUUAAAGGACUUAAACGGCUUAAAAGACUACGAAAGAUACGUUAAGGAAGAUGUGGCUUCUAUCAGUAUUUCCUUGAAAUCUGUAAUCUUACUAGUCAAUAACAUAGAAAAUUCCGAGACAACCCGGUGGGUGCUUGUUUCCCUGAAAUCUGUCAAAGUUGUCGAAGUUAAAAGUUAGUAAUAACAUACACCAACUAUGUACUGGCAUAUUUCUUGUUCUGUUGAUGAUAAGGUAGUGUUUUAUAGUUUAAGAAUAGAAAUAUCAAAUAGAAAAAUUUUCAUUUAAUGUUUUUUUUUUCUUUUUUGAAUGAAUAACAGGCGGUGGUCAUUUGUUAUUAGGAUUAAAAUUGGACUGUAUGGCUGAAUAUAGAUUUUUGAUAUUUGACAUAAAAUGCACUACCUCGAAGGCUGCCUGAAAAUUUUCUGUUCUGCAAAUAUAAACAACCCGCAGGGAAAUCUGCAUUCCAAAAAUGCAGCCUGCUUUAACUGCGAUCCACAGCAAUGCACACCUGGACGUGCACACGACGAAAUUACACACACGCACGUAUGCACACACUUAGUCACACGCAAGCACGCACACAUACACACACAGACAAAAUUCUCUCUACCUUUUUUAUAUUGCAGGACUUUACUACUUUCAAACGAGGCCUAAUGAUGAAACUUGUUUCGGAGGAUAAGCUCUUCAUAGCAAAACAAAAAAGAAUUUAGAGAUUACCUGAUCAAAAUGUAUAUGGAUAAGUUUACAGAAAGAGUAUACCUUGGACAAUCGGUUCUUCGCGGAGUCCCGCAAUUAUAUUCACAGACGCGAGGCCGCAUUCAUACAUACAGAGAUGUAUUUUAUGCAACGAGCAGAAAAUUUAAUAACAUUUAUGUCAUCGGUGAAGAGAGAAUGGCAACAUCAUUUUGUUUGAAUCUUGUUACCGACUGGUGUGACAAGAAGCCCUCCAGCGAAGGUUCUCAAAUGUAUUUGUUGAAUGGAGAUGAAAGCAAAAUAAGUCUCCAGGAAUUCGAGUUCGUUUUGAUGAUAUCACUUAGGGAUGUAGGAAAAGAAGUUUUUAUUCCAAGCAUGGUCAGGAAAUAUCUGCUUAGAGGUGAAUACGAAGAUAUCUUUGAGAAAGUUAUAGAACGAGAGUCUGAAAAGUGUCUUAUAAUUCUCGAUGGGUUAAGUCCUUGGGAGGCAAAGUCGCGUUCUCAUACGAAAAUGCCAGCAAGAAACUUUAUGGACGACUAUGUAGUUCUCACGACAGCAAGCAGUGGGGAAAGAAUACACAAUACUGAUCACGUGUUAUAUUUGAAGUAGUAAUUGCCUGCAGUCUUACAUACCUUGCCUUUAAUGAUAUAACCACUCUAAAACCUUUACCAUGAAAAUUGCAACGCAAUUCUAUUGUAUGAUUGUACACAUUAACGCCAACUUCAGAAAAUGUAAAAAUAAUUUCGAUUAUAUGUUGUGCCCUAAAUCUCUUUGAUCGACGACUAUGUACUGGCACAGUAGUAAGCAGAAGAGAUAAACAAAAUGCUAAUAUAGGAAAUUUGCAGACUUCCUUUAAGGAAUCUUAAUCAACCCUUCAGGUCUUUAUAAUUAAAUCAAAUCGUCCCAGAACGGUCACAGAUCACACCUUAGAUAUUUACACACAAAAAACAUAUACAAACAGGUGCCAAUAAGAUUUUUGCACAGAGGCAAACGAACUAACAUAGAUAAAUAAAUCAAAGAGGGAGCAGGACUUUCAAACAAAACUAAAAGUUUCAAGUUUCAAGUAUUCCCCGGAUACCUAGAACCCCCACCCCCCGCCCCAUCCCCUAUCAGAAUCCUGGAUUCGUCCCUGAAUGUACUAUAUUUUGUUUGACAAGUUUGUUUAUUUUUUAUUUUGUUGGGUUUAACGUCGCACCGACACAAUUAUAGGUCAUAUGGCGAGUUUCCAGCUUUGACGGUGGAGGAAGACCCCAGGUGUCCCUCUGUGCAUUAUUUCAUCACGAGCGGGUAGAACAACCGACCUUCCUUAAGCCAGCACAUGAAGAAUUCAACGCCCCGAGUGAGGCCUACAUCGAUGAGGGGCAAGUGAUUUGAAGUCAGAGACCUUAACCACUCGGCCACGGAGGCCCCCUUUAUCAUGUUUGAUGUAUUCAGCAUACUAAUAUAAUUCAUGUAAAUGAACUUUAAGUUAAAGCUAGAAAAUCGAGACUUUAUGGAUGUGUCUGACUCAGGGUUAUUAAUUUUUUUUUGCGGGCAGUAUUAACAGCAAGAAUGUGAUUCAUUCUGUUUAAAAUUCUUUCAUUCUGUUAAAUGAUGAUUGCUUUUAGCGGGGAUAAGUUUUUACACUUUCCUAAAACGUUUUAACAUGAUUUGGAUUAAGAGUGAGGUUUUAUUCACACUUUCGCGGUUUAAACCCUUACGUUGACUGUGUCAAUGCGGUGUCCCACUGUGCUUCUUUUGUUUUGUUUGUUUUACUUCGUAUUUUGUGUUUAUUUUCAUGACCUUAAGGUUCCACGUGCCUUUUUCUUAAAUUGUGCGGCCUUAACUUGGCAGCUCUACACUCAUGGACUUCAGAAGCAUCUCGUCCAUGUAUUUCAAUUAUUUAAUUUCUGCAACCUGUAUUUAAUUAUUUUGAUAUUCACUUAUUACUGUUCGUUACGUCUGGUCAAGUGUGGUGCUUUCUUUUGUAAUACUUGAGCAUGACCAUGGGCCAUGGGCAUGUGUAGCUGAAGUUUAAGUCAUACAAAAUUCAAUGGGAGCAUUUACAAAAGUAAAAUGUUAUAACAUACUGAUUUUAUGAGGUCAUGAACAACAAUCUUUUCUCAGAAUGUCCCGAUUUUAAUUAAAUUAGAGGUUUAUUCAUUAAAUUUGUAUAGACUUUUAUUCCUCAAAGCAGUAUUUUCUCAAAAUCUUUUAUUGAUAUCGUCUAAAGCAAAAAUAUCAAUGAUCAUGAUAUUGGAGUCACUAAAAUUAUACUGAGCAUGACUGUGGCUCUAUAGUUUCACGUUUGACAACACCACAUGGAGUUUUUUUUAAACUACGUCAACGCCACCUACUUUCAAACUGGCGUUUUGCACCGUUAAGAUACAUUCAACCUUUUUUUUGCGGGGAGUGGGGGGGGAUUUUUUUAUUUUACGGUGUAACGCCUUAAACAGGUAAUUGAUAUUCUUUCCGACGACGGCAACCGGAUCUCUAAAUAUCCAAAUAAAACUACUCCGAGUAUGAGUUUCAAGAAUGGAAGUCAGGCUUCGUUUAGCACAGAACAUUUACUACCUAGAUAACCUUAUUCAUUAUGUUAUGUAUCUUUUAUUAAUAUAUUCCUAAUGAAAAUCUUCAUGGAUCAAUUGUUCCAAAUGCAAAGAUGGUGCGUGUUUAAUGUAAAUGCAAAGAUGGUGUGUUUUAAAUAUCCUCGAGUGUAUUUUAUUGUCAUAAAUUUGUAAAGGGUUACAUUUUAUACAUGUAUAUGGUAUACGUUGUCAAUGUAUGCAUUCUUUCACUUUAAAUGCAAUUACGUUUAUGAAUAUCCUGAUGUAUUAUUCAGAAAUAUGAUAAAUAUUUGUUAUUCAUGUACUGUAUUUGUGUGAUUAUC